rnacentral:rRNA from 1 species
CCUACGGGUGGCAGCAGUGAGGAAUAUUGGUCAAUGGGAGAGAUCCUGAACCAGCCAAGCCGCGUGAGGGAAGAAGGUCCUAUGGGUUGUAAACCUCUUUUGUCGGAGAACAAAACCCGGGACGUGUCCCGGAAUGCGUGUAUCCGUAGAAAAAGCAUCGGCUAACUCCGUGCCAGCAGCCGCGGUAAUACGGAGGAUGCGAGCGUUAUCCGGAUUUAUUGGGUUUAAAGGGUGCGUAGGCGGUCCGUUAAGUCAGCGGGAAAAUCGCGGGGCUCAACCCCGUCGCGCCGUUGAAACUGGCAGACUUGAGUGGGCGAGAAGUACGCGGAAUGCGCGGUGUAGCGGUGAAAUGCAUAGAUAUCGCGCAGAACGCCGAUUGCGAAGGCAGCGUACCGGCGCCAGACUGACGCUGAGGCACGAAAGCGUGGGGAGCGAACAGGAUUAGAUACCCUGGUAGUC